rnacentral:rRNA from 1 species
UACGUAGGGGGCUAGCGUUGUCCGGAUUUAUUGGGCGUAAAGAGCGUGUAGGCGGUCAGGUAGGUCGGUUGUGAAAACUGGAGGCUCAACCUCCAGCCUGCAGUGGGUACGGGCAGACUAGAGUGCGGUAGGGGAGACUGGAAUUCCUGGUGUAGCGGUGAAAUGCGCAGAUAUCAGGAGGAACACCGGUGGCGAAGGCGGGUCUCUGGGCCGUAACUGACGCUGAGGAGCGAAAGCAUGGGGAGCGAACAGG